GGAAAGGUGAAAAGCACCCCGGAAGGGGAGUGAAAUAGAACCUGAAACCGUGUGCUUACAAGUAGUCAGAGCCCGUUAAUGGGUGAUGGCGUGCCUUUUGUAGAAUGAACCGGCGAGUUACGAUUUGAUGCAAGGUUAAGCAGUAAAUGUGGAGCCGUAGCGAAAGCGAGUCUGAAUAGGGCGUUUAGUAUUUGGUCGUAGACCCGAAACCAGGUGAUCUACCCUUGGUCAGGUUGAAGUUCAGGUAACACUGAAUGGAGGACCGAACCGACUUACGUUGAAAAGUGAGCGGAUGAACUGAGGGUAGCGGAGAAAUUCCAAUCGAACCUGGAGAUAGCUGGUUCUCUCCGAAAUAGCUUUAGGGCUAGCCUCAAGUGAUGAUUAUUGGAGGUAGAGCACUGUUUGGACGAGGGGCCCCUCUCGGGUUACCGAAUUCAGACAAACUCCGAAUGCCAAUUAAUUUAACUUGGGAGUCAGAACAUGGGUGAUAAGGUCCGUGUUCGAAAGGGAAACAGCCCAGACCACCAGCUAAGGUCCCAAAAUAUAUGUUAAGUGGAAAAGGAUGUGGCGUUGCCCAGACAACUAGGAUGUUGGCUUAGAAGCAGCCAUCAUUUAAAGAGUGCGUAAUAGCUCACUAGUCGAGUGACACUGCGCCGAAAAUGUACCGGGGCUAAACAUAUUACCGAAGCUGUGGAUUGUCCUUUGGACAAUGGUAGGAGAGCGUUCUAAGGGCGUUGAAGCAUGAUCGUAAGGACAUGUGGAGCGCUUAGAAGUGAGAAUGCCGGUGUGAGUAGCGAAAGACGGGUGAGAAUCCCGUCCACCGAUUGACUAAGGUUUCCAGAGGAAGGCUCGUCCGCUCUGGGUUAGUCGGGUCCUAAGCUGAGGCCGACAGGCGUAGGCGAUGGAUAACAGGUUGAUAUUCCUGUACCACCUAUAAUCGUUUUAAUCGAUGGGGGGACGCAGUAGGAUAGGCGAAGCGUGCGAUUGGAUUGCACGUCUAAGCAGUAAGGCUGAGUAUUAGGCAAAUCCGGUACUCAUUAAGGCUGAGCUGUGAUGGGGAGAAGACAUUGUGUCUUCGAGUCGUUGAUUUCACACUGCCGAGAAAAGCCUCUAGAUAGAAAAUAGGUGCCCGUACCGCAAACCGACACAGGUAGUCAAGAUGAGAAUUCUAAGGUGAGCGAGCGAACUCUCGUUAAGGAACUCGGCAAAAUGACCCCGUAACUUCGGGAGAAGGGGUGCUCUUUAGGGUUAACGCCCAGAAGAGCCGCAGUGAAUAGGCCCAAGCGACUGUUUAUCAAAAACACAGGUCUCUGCUAAACCGUAAGGUGAUGUAUAGGGGCUGACGCCUGCCCGGUGCUGGAAGGUUAAGAGGAGUGGUUAGCUUCUGCGAAGCUACGAAUCGAAGCCCCAGUAAACGGCGGCCGUAACUAUAACGGUCCUAAGGUAGCGAAAUUCCUUGUCGGGUAAGUUCCGACCCGCACGAAAGGCGUAACGAUUUGGGCACUGUCUCAACGAGAGACUCGGUGAAAUCAUAGUACCUGUGAAGAUGCAGGUUACCCGCGACAGGACGGAAAGACCCCGUGGAGCUUUACUGUAGCCUGAUAUUGAAAUUCGGCACAGCUUGUACAGGAUAGGUAGGAGCCUUUGAAACGUGAGCGCUAGCUUACGUGGAGGCGCUGGUGGGAUACUACCCUAGCUGUGUUGGCUUUCUAACCCGCACCACUUAUCGUGGUGGGAGACAGUGUCAGGCGGGCAGUUUGACUGGGGCGGUCGCCUCCUAAAAGGUAACGGAGGCGCUCAAAGGUUCCCUCAGAAUGGUUGGAAAUCAUUCAUAGAGUGUAAAGGCAUAAGGGAGCUUGACUGCGAGACCUACAAGUCGAGCAGGGUCGAAAGACGGACUUAGUGAUCCGGUGGUUCCGCAUGGAAGGGCCAUCGCUCAACGGAUAAAAGCUACCCCGGGGAUAACAGGCUUAUCUCCCCCAAGAGUUCACAUCGACGGGGAGGUUUGGCACCUCGAUGUCGGCUCAUCGCAUCCUGGGGCUGUAGUCGGUCCCAAGGGUUGGGCUGUUCGCCCAUUAAAGCGGUACGCGAGCUGGGUUCAGAACGUCGUGAGACAGUUCGGUCCCUAUCCGUCGUGGGCGUAGGAAAUUUGAGAGGAGCUGUCCUUAGUACGAGAGGACCGGGAUGGACAUACCUCUGGUGUACCAGUUGUCGUGCCAACGGCAUAGCUGGGUAGCUAUGUGUGGACGGGAUAAGUGCUGAAAGCAUCUAAGCAUGAAGCCCCCCUCAAGAUGAGAUUUCCCAACUUCGGUUAUAAGAUCCCUCAAAGAUGAUGAGGUUAAUAGGUUCGAGGUGGAAGCAUGGUGACAUGUGGAGCUGACGAAUACUAA
rnacentral:rRNA from 1 species